rnacentral:rRNA from 1 species
UACAGAGGGUGCAACGUUGCUCGGAAUUAUUGGGCGUAAAGCGCACGUAGGCGGUUCGUUAAGUUGGAUGUGAAAGCCCUGGGCUCAACUCAGGAAGUGCAUUCAAAACUGGCGAGCUUGAAUAUGGAAGAGGGUCGCGGAAUUCCCGGUGUAGAGGUGAAAUUCGUAGAUAUCGGGAGGAACACCAGUGGCGAAGGCGACUUCCUGGCCUGCAGCUGACACUGAGGCACGAAAGCGUGGGGAGCAAACAGG